AGCAGAAGGGGACUUCAGAGAGAGGUGGUAUAAGGAGGUCAGAUUCCAAGUGUGAUAAGGGUGUGGCAUGCCAUUGCCGGCUCUGAGAUGUAGAGGCUUGUGUGCUAGGACUGGAGAGAGACCUUAAGAGAAGAAGGGAGGCCACCAGUUGACAGCCAGCAAAGAAAUGGGCCUCAGUCCUACAGCCACAAGCAACUAAUUCUGCCAACAACCUGAAUGAGCUUGGAAGCAGAUUCUUUUCAAAGCCUUCCAGUAAGAGCCAAGCUGGCUGAUACCUUGAUUUUUGGCCUCAUGAAGCCAAGAGCAGAGAAAAGAGCUGAGCCAGCCUGGAUGUCUGAACUACAGACUGGUCCUGGAACCCUCUUACCUGUCAAUGACUUUCCCUCUUGGAAUUUGAGGGAACAACUGGAAUGCCCCCAGCUUUUCCCACAGAUGGUAAUUCUCUUCACCAAGAGUCCCGCAGUUUCCUGCCUCAACAGUGCUUGGACUGAACGGGCACUCAUCCCCCACCCUGCCUAGUGCUCAGAGCCAACCUUUCAUCGCCUCUUCACAGCUCCCUCAGACUACCCCAGCCUCCACCACCACCACCACCUCUCCUCAGCCAUGUGCUAUGAGGACCACGUCCCCCUCACAGGUAUGCCAGGACUACCACCUUGACUCAGAGGCCACCAUCAACCGCCAGAUCAACCUGGAGCUCUAUGCCUCCUACAUCUUCCUGUCCAUGUCUUACUACUUUGAGAUGAUGUGGCUUUGAAGAAUUUUGCCAAAUGCUUUCUUCACCAAUCUCAUAAGACGAGGAAACAUGCUGAGAAACGGAUAAAGCUGCAGAACCAACGAGGUGGCCAUUCCUUCAGGAUAUCAAGAAACCAGAUCACGAUGACUGGGAAAAUGGGCUGAAUGCAACAGAGUGUGUGUUACACUUGGGAAAAAGCAUGAAUCAGUCACUACUGGGACUGUACUCACAAACUGGCCACUGACGAAAAUAGCCCCCAUUUGUGUGCCCUCAUUGAGAGUCAUUACUUAAAUAAGCAGACAAAAUUCUUCAAAGAAUUGGAUGACCACUGUAACCAAUUUUUCCAUUAUGGGGUCCCCAGAAUCUGGCAUGGCAGGGUAUCUCUUUGACAAGCACACCCUGGAAGACAAUGAUAGGAAGAACUGAGCCUUAGGAUGUUUCCCAUAGCCAUGAGAGGACUUCCCUGGUCACCAGGCAGCGCAUGAAUGUUGGGGUUACAUUUAUCUUUUCUGUAAGUUGUACCAAAACAUCUACU
rnacentral:lncRNA from 1 species